GGCGACAGUGCUGUGACGAAAGUUAGAAACACGACAUACGUGGCCAGAGCUUGUGCCACUCCACGAUUCUCGAAUACGUGCACCGCAAAAUUUCGAAAACAUUGUGGCACUACCUAAAAAAAGUAGAAAUUGUCGAUGGCACGUGACACAGUCUCAGUGGAACGAGGAAGAAUUGGUCAGACUUUGAAAUAUAGACAUAUUGAAAUAUUACUACUAUGGAUUUACUAAAGCAAUGGAGUUCUAGUGGACAGAGAAUGAUUAAUGCAGGAAAUUGGUCAGACCCUUGAUAUAAUAUUCAAUUUGAAUUGAAAGAUAUUAAAAUUAUCAGAGAGAAGAAUGCGAAGAAUGAUUAAUGGAGUUUUAAAUGAAUGAAAAUUGAUUAUUGCAGCAAUUGAUUAGAUGUUAAAAUAUAAUCCAAUUUAUGUAUUAAAACAUUAUGAAAGAGAGUAAGUAAAUGGACAAGAAAUGUAGUAAUUGGAAUAUAACAUUGUUCAAUUUAAUUCAAUUUAAAAUUAUUAAAGAAUCCUUCCAAAGAAUAAUUAUAAUGAAUAAAAAGUGGUAAGUGUAAAAAUUGAUAAGAUUUGAAUGUAACUCAACUUAUGAGAUAUAUUGAAACAUUAUUAGAAGGAUAAUAUUAGUGCAGGAAUUGAUCAGACUUCUUAAUUUAUGAGAGAUAAUUAGUGCAGGAAUUAAUAUACUUUCAUUUGGUAAACAAAUGAAAUGCAAUAUUAAUAGAAGGAUUUUCCAAAGAAAAAUAAUGGACAAAAAGAAGAUAAUGUAGAAAUUGGUUAGACAUUGGAAUGCUCAACAUACUGAAACAUUACUGGAGAAAACUUUUUAACAAACUAGGUGAAGUUUUACAACAAUACUGGGACUCAUGACAAUUUCUUGACCCACUAACAAACAGUCAUAGACGAAUGGAGUAGAAGAUAAUAUUUCAUCUAGUCCCAUAUUGUGAGGGAUUAAGGGCAAUAAGUUCAAAAAUACUUAAGACUUCUAUGCUGGACGCGAACACGACAAUAAAGUUUCUCCAUUUUACUUCCAUACCAAGAUUACUUUUCAUAUGAAAUUGAAAACACAGCUAUAUAUAAUAAUUCGAUAUGGUAGGAAAUUUAAUCAAAUUCCCUAAUCAAAACUUACACUUUCAUCUGUAGUAAUAGUAGAUACUAAUUGUGAUGUAUAUUAGUUUAAUAGAAAUGAAAUUUUGUAAAAGUAAAAUUACAAUGAAAGAUCGUAGAUUAGUGGACUAUUUAAAGUUUCGUAUAAAUGGAAUUCUACAGAAGAAAUUUGAUGAAAGUGCAUAUCUCUUAUCUCGAUUUGAUUAACCGACCAGAUUAUUUUUAGCGACUGGGUUCCAUUAAGAACGGUGGAAGUUUGUUAAAGAUACCGAGUUAUCGAGCAUCGCUUAUAAUUCUAGCCAACAUUCUACCCGUGACCUGGCCCAUUGUGCACUUUAAUCAGGUAUCUGUGACCUGCUACGAUAACGUUAGGCCACUGUCCAGGCUCUUGUAUUUAUCAACCCUGUAGAUCUUGCAUCUCUAUUCUCCUUAUAUUUGGUUAAAUACUCUCUUAACUAGACAACCAUCAUUUCCUCUCUCAUUCUCAACUUUAACAUUUUUUUUUUUCAUUCUUUUCUUUUCCAGAUAUCCAGAAUCAAUCUAUUAUGGAUUUUAACGUUUUUUUAAGUAUGGUAUAGAAAUUUUUCUUAGACACACGUAACAUAUGCCUUCAUCCAUUUGGUGUCUAUUAUUAUUUAACUAUUGGAUCUCAAAUAUUCAUGAAAUAUGCCCAAUAUAAUAUUAGCAAAUAUUUCGAAAACUAAGGCUAAUCGAUUGUACAUUUAACAUCUUCUGCAAUACGUUUAAAGAUCAAAAUAUUAAUAUUAUUAUCAAAAUAGGAGCGUCACGUGUCGACAGCUUCAGCAUGUCGUAUUAUAUAAAUUAUAUGAUAAAAAUUUAUAAAAAUUUAUGAUAUAUUCAUCAAUUUUUCGCGCGAGAUAGAGAGAUCUAGGGACUUUGGCUCGCAGCAGUUGUUAAAUGGAAAAUUUAUCGAAUCGUAAUGGAAACCCUACGGCUAUUUGCGAAAUAUUCGUAUCUAUCUGCAUUUGAUGUUUUCCCAAAUUGCCAAAAUUUCGACGAUGUAAAUUUCAUGAUGCGCGCCUAAAAUUUUUAUAAAUCAAAUAAUACCUCUACUUCCAAGUAUAUAUAUUAAACCUAUUAUCCGUUAAUAUUCAAAUAUCUGUAUAUUUUCGUAACUCCACUCUAGUUGAUUAUUUUGUAAAUUAUUCACCAAAUUAUUUUGGAGCAACUUAAUAUUGCGUUGACACAAUUCUGAAUUAUACGAUCGACUAUAUGGAUAUGGGGUAUAUAUAUAUAUAUGUUAUAAUAAUUAGGGAGAAAAUUGCAGAGACAGUUUGCUAUACGUUGUCCAUUAUAUUAAUAAACAAUUAAGAGAGUGCAUUAAUUAUCGACCUACCUAUUUGCAAAAGAUUUAAUGAUCAAAAUUUGGUUAGGUACUCUCUAUCGAACUCAGUAACCUUAAAUACGUUACUGAUAACUAGUCGAUUUUCCAAGUUGGCAAUUUCAAUGUUCCUAGAUAUUAGAUUAUCAAACUGUAUUAAAGAUUGAUUAAUUAAUAGCAAGAUUAAAUCAAGAUAUCUAUAUAUGUUUUUAAUCAAAUAACUUCAUUUUUAAAUUUUAAAGUCGUUUUCGUUAGAAAAUUUUUUCUCCAAUCUGUUUUGCAAAUGUUUAUGUCAAAAUUUGAAAAUUUUUGAUACGAAUAGGAAAAAAGGAUUUUUCAUGAAAAUAAUUUCUAUCCUUGAUUGAAAUUGAAUUUUCGCGAGAUUAAAUAUUUAAAAUUUAUGAUUUAACGAAAAUAAACUGCGAAAAAAUCAGUUCGGUGAAAUUUAUCGAUAGCUCGACGGAAUUUUGUGGAAUACUUUUUCACAUAUUUUCAUAUCAAACAUAACUUUUUGUUAGAAGCAAUUUUUAUCGCGUAAAAAUAAAAAUUUCUGGGUUUUAACGAUUACCUCGUGAAAAUUCCAAUAACCAAAAUGAAGUUUGAAUCAAAUAACACUUUUGAAUAAUGUAUUUUAAUUUAACGAAUAUAUUUUUUUUUUUUAGUUUAUCAUUGGAAACGUUUCAAUAAUCUCUGUUUCAAUUAUCAUAAUUAAAAAAAAAAAAAAAGAACGCGAAAAAAAAAUUUUUUAAUUUCUAAAAAUUAAAUAAAUUUAUAAGUCGGAUAAAUUAACAACGAUUUAUAAAAGAUAAAUAUUGGACAAAUUUAAGAUAAAUUAAUUCUAUCCGGAUAAAUUAGCGAUUCGCUUUGAUUUCGCUUUGAUUUCGAAAUUCUGUGCAGUUAUCGAAUUCACGAGAUAUAUUAUUUAAUUUGAUUUAUCGAUGGACAGGAUCGGAAAUAUAGUGGUUUGUGGUCAGCGAUAGUGAAAUUCUAUAAGUACAUAUACGUUUAUACUACAUACACAUAAGUACCUGUUGCUGAUUUUCCCUCUGCGUGGUUAGACGAGCCUCGACGCAUUGUCUAGUCUCCAGGAAGGCUUGUCUUUGCGCCAGUUCUCGAGGAUGAUGCGUCAACACCCCGGCCAUGUUCGUCCCACCAACCACCACAAUGGAGCUUAAUAACUGCAAAGAUGAAGAUAGAAAUUUAUAAUUUAAAAAGAAAGAAAAUCUAUUUGAAAUAAUAUUAGAAUUG